UACGAAGGGGGCUAGCGUUGUUCGGAAUUACUGGGCGUAAAGCGCACGAGGCGGAUUGUUAAGUCGGGGGGUGAAAUCCCGGGGGCUCAACCCCCGGAACUGCCUUUGAUACUGGCAAUCUAGAGUCCGGAAGAGGUGAGUGGAAUUCCGAGUGUAGAGGUGAAAUUCGUAGAUAUUCGGAGGAACACCAGUGGCGAAGGCGGCUCACUGGUCCGGAACUGACGCUGAGGUGCGAAAGCGUGGGGAGCAAACAGG
rnacentral:rRNA from 1 species